AGGCUUUGAUCCUGGCUCAGAUUGAACGCUGGCGGCAUGCCUAACACAUGCAAGUCGAACGGCAGCGCGGGCUUCGGCCUGGCGGCGAGUGGCGGACGGGUGAGUAAUGCUUGGGAAUCUGCCCAGUAGUGGGGGACAACACGGGGAAACUCGUGCUAAUACCGCAUACGUCCUACGGGAGAAAGCGGGGGAUCUUCGGACCUCGUGCUAUUGGAUGAGCCCAAGUCGGAUUAGCUAGUUGGUAGGGUAACGGCCUACCAAGGCGACGAUCCGUAGCUGGUCUGAGAGGACGAUCAGCCACACCGGAACUGAGACACGGUCCGGACUCCUACGGGAGGCAGCAGUGGGGAAUAUUGGACAAUGGGCGAAAGCCUGAUCCAGCAAUGCCGCGUGUGUGAAGAAGGCCUGCGGGUUGUAAAGCACUUUCAGCAGGGAAGAACAGCGUGGGGCUAAUAUCCCCGCGUCUUGACGUCACCUGAAGAAGAAGCACCGGCUAAAUCCG
rnacentral:rRNA from 1 species